rnacentral:lncRNA from 1 species
UGAUGGAAGAUAAAUGAAAGGUAAUUGGUGCUUUAUGAUGUCAAGGUUCCCUCUGACCUCCUACAUAUACUCAAGCACCAGAGGCUCAACUCUCCAGAUAUCAGAUAAUAUGCAUCUAGUUUUCUCUGCAUCCCAGAACACAGUAUUCUCAGGAAAAAAAUGCUAUUCUUCUGAUGGCUCCUGGCUCCAAGGAGCCAGGAUUUUACUUUUUUAUUUACUUUACUAAGAACUCAAUUAGUCUCCCAGCCUCCCUCCACUGGGGAAGCUCACAGAUACCAUCUACAACCUUAAAUUAGAAUUGUACUGUGAGAUUCCUGAUCUUUGGGGCAUUGGAAAUACCUCAAAGUUUCCUUUUCUUCAAAUAAUUCUUACUGACUUGGUCCAGUUCCCUGGAAAUAGUCACUGGUACCAGGCCAAGUCAGUGCUGUUGCCGUGUCCCCCUCACCGGAUUUCACCGUUGUGGGAAAAAGACCAUCUGUCCCAGGUUGAGCAAAUGUCCUAUCUUGAACACCAGGUCAGAAUCACCCCCAUAUCCCCACCACAUUCUUAUUAUUAUCAGAAUGAACUUGGAUCCUCGCCAUGGCUCAAACAUCUAGCCACAACUACACAACUGUCUCAAUCUUUUCCCAGGGCAAAGGCUGUGCCUUUACCUCAUCUUCAUCACCACGAUAUGGCUAAAGUCUCCCCAAGUAGCAAAUACCAGAAAGUCACCUCAGUCUUGGCCUUACAUAAUAGGCAUGACAUUGAGGCCAAAGUUGCCUUGAAAUCCUUCCAACAGGAAGCAACUCCUUCAAGCUCUGACCACCUUCCCAAGAUUUUCCCAAGCUGUGAGAAUUCAACUGAUAAUCUACUGUCUGUCAACCAAUCACUCUCAUCUCCAUCAUUCUCCGACAAUAAAGCUGAGUUUUCCCCAUUCCUCAGCCAUGGGUCCACGACAGAAAAAGGAAUAUAUUCUGACUUCCAGGGCAAGGACAAGCUAUCUGUUAUCUCAAUGAGCUCUGGUAACCAAACUAAAGUUGCAAGGAGGCUCCAAAGCCAAGUCAGGGCUACAACUGCUACUACAUUAGGAAAUUUAGAUUUGAGACAUACAGCCUCUAUUACCUCAUCAUCACUUUGUUUUAACCACUGGUCCAGGCCAACAGCAUCAAAAACAUCAGAAGUAGACCACUGGGUCCAGGCAAAAGCUUCCAAAAUGUCAUAUCCUGACCUCCACCUCAGGGACACAGUGUCACUAUUAAGAUGUAUUGACCAUCACUCCAGGCCCUUGACUGACUAUUCAUUACACCUGAACCAGAAAACUAGAGCAACCACUACAAACUCAUCCUGCCCCAAACGUAUUAAAGCCAAAGCUUUGCCAUCACCAGCUCCAAACCAUCGGGCCAGGACAAGAGCUACCUCAUCACAAGGUGUUAAAUCAUGGGACAAGGGAUCAGCUAAUCACUGGGUCACAGCUACCUCUGUGCCCUUCCCAUUACACCACCAAAUGUAUGACGUUCCAAUCAAACAGGCAUCAUCCCAAUGCACUCUUCAUCAUCAGGCCACUUGUCCACCCACUCCUGAAUACUACCAGGCCAAGUACGUGACAGACUCCAAUACCCACAUCUUGCUUCAGAAAGAAAAAAACCGUACAGAAGUCAUGCCACAAGAUCUGGACUACCAGUUCACAAUGCUAACAGGCCAGGUAUACUGGUCAACAUCCUCAGUGAACAUGGAAUACAAUGGUACUGCUUCAUUUGACUAUGACCAGAGUACCACAACUCCAUUCAGUCCUAGAUACCAGACUGAGAGUGAACCAAACCCCCAACCCCAGAUCACACUUCAAAUGGAAAGAAAGAAUGAUUGCCAAAGAAUAUCAGUAAGAUCAGACUAUGAGGUGACACAUUUCAUGGACCAAGAUCAAUGGGCAACACCUUCACAGGGUGUAAGAAACCCUCAGAACAGAACUGUCUCUGGUCCUGAACAUCAGACCAUAUCUCUAUCCAGCAAUGACCACCAGGCUGAGGAUAUAGCAGUAGACUCUAAUACCCAGGUCAUAUUCCAACAAGAACUAGAUAAAAGGGAAACAUAUUGGAUGAAAGAUCAAAAGUCUUCACAACCAUCCAGUGUAGACCACCAGGUCCAGGAGAUCCCAGGAGAUCCCAGAGACCCACAAACAUUCCAACAAGAACUAGAAAAGUGGAAAAUACAAGACCCUAAGUUGACACCUUCAUCCAGCAAUGGUCACCAGGCUGAGACUAUACCAGCAGACCAUAAAACCCAGGUCAUAUUUCAUCAAGAACUAGAUGAGUGGGAAACAAUUUGGAAAAAAGGACAAAACAAUCAGUCCACAUCUCCACCAAACAAUGACCCACAAAUUCAGAAUAUGCCAGAAGAUGCCAGAGUACAUAUUAUACUCAAGGGAGAACCAUGUGAUCAGGAUAAAUUUUAUAAAAGACUAGACCACCAACCCAUACUUUCACCUGGAAAUGACCAUCAAAUUCAGCAUAUUCCAGCAGAUCACAAUGCACAGGUAAUAUUCCAUCAAGAAGAGGAUAAACAUGAAACAUUUUGGACACAAGGACAAAACCAUCAAUCCACAUCUCCACUAAGCAAUGACUACCAAGCCCAGGCUACUCCAGAAGACCCUAGUGCACAUAUUACACUCAAACAAGAACCAGAGAAUUUGGACACAUUUUGGACAAAAGGACUAGAUCAGCAGCCUACGUCUUCACCUGGCAAUAAACGGGAGGCUAAAGAUAAACCAGACUUCAAUUCUAAGACUACACUUCAACAAAAAAUAGAAGAAUGGAAAACACUUUGGCCAGGAGAACCAGACAAGCAGGGCACAAUUCUAACAAACGAGGGUUAUUUGGCAACUUCCACAUUAGACCUAAAAUACCAAGAUGAAACUUCACCUGAAACUAACCACAUCUCCACAUCUCCACCCAACUGUGGUGAACAGGCUUCAGAUGUAGCAGAAUUUAGCAUCCAGGCCACACUCCAACAAAAAAUAAGCAAAAGGGAAACAUUUUGGCCAACAGAACCAGACAAACAGGCCACAACUGUAACAGACCAGGAUUACUGGGCCACAUCCCCAUGGGACAUAAAACAUCAAGGCAGAAUUUCACCUGACCUUCAUCAUGGAGUGACACCUCUAAUCACACAUGAAGAUCAGGAUUCAGAUGUACCAGACCUCAGUCCCCAGGUCACACUCCAACAAGACCUAGACAAAAGGGAAAUAUUUUGGCCCAUAGAACUAGAUAAGCAGGCCACAAUUCUCAAAGACAAGGAAUUCUGGGCCACAUCCCCAUGGGACAUAAAACAGCAAGACAGAACUUCACCUGACCUUCAUCAUGGGGACACACCUCUACCUAUAAAUAAAGAUCAGAAUUCAGAUGUAUCAGACCUCAGUGCCCGAGUCACACUCCAGCAAGAACUAGGCAAAAGGGAAACUUUUUGGCAAACAGAACUAGAUAAGCAGGCCACAAUUCUCAAAGACCAGGAUUACUGGAUCACAACCCUAUGGAACAUAAAACACCAAGACAGAACUUCACCUGACCUUAACCAUGUGUCAACAUCUCUACCCACACUUGAAGAUGAGGAUUCAGAUGUAUCAGACCUCAGUGACCAGGUGGUCACACUACAACAAGAACUAGGCAAAAGGGAAACAUUUUGGCAAACAGAACUAGACAAGCAGGUCACAACUCUUAAAGGCCAGGAUUACUGGGUCACAACCCUAUGGGACAUAAAAGACAAAGAUAGAACUUCACCUGACCUUCACCAUGGGGCUACAUCUCUACCCAUACAUGAAGAUCAGGAUUCAGACGUAUCAGACCUCAGUGACCAGGUCACACUACAACAAGAACUGGGUAAAAGGGGAACAUUUUGGCCAAUAGAACCAAACAAACAGGCCACAACUCUCAAAGACCAGAAUUACUGGGUCACAGCCCUAUGGGACAUAAAAGACAAAGACAGGACUUCACCUGACCUUCCCUUUAGGGCCACACCUCUAUCCAGACACAAGGACCAGGAUUCAGAUAUAUCAGACCUCAGUGCCCAGGUCACACUCCAACAAGAACUGAGCAAAAGGGAAACAUCUUAUCCAACAGAGAUAGAAAAGCAGGCCACAAUUCUAAAAGACAAAGUUUACUGGGCAACACCCACACUGGAUCUAAAACAUGAAGAAAGAACUUCACCUGACCUCCACCAUGGGGCUACAUCUUCACUCAGCUGUGAGGACCAGGAUUCAGGUGCAAUAGACCUCAGUGAGCAGGUCAUACUCCAACAAAAAUUAGGUAAAAAGAAAAUAUCUUGUCCAACAGAAUCAGACAAACAAGUUGCAAGUCUAACAGACCAGGAUUACUGGGCCACAUUCCCGUGGGACAUAAAACAUCAAGACAGAACUUCACUUGACCAUCACCAUGGAGCUACACCUCCACUCAGUCAUGAAGACCAGGAUUCAGAUGCAACAGACCUUAGUUCCCCAAUCAUACUCCAACAAGAACUAAGUAAAAAGGAAAUAUUUUGUCCUACAGAGUUAGACAAGCAGGUCACAAGCCUAACAGACCAGGAUUAUUGGACCACAUUCCCAUGGGACAUAAAACACCAAGACAGAACUUCACUUGGCCAUCACCAUGGAGCUACACCUCCACUCAGUCAUGAAGACCAGGAUUCAGAUGCAACAGACCCUAGUCCCCCAACCACACUCCAACAAGAACUAAGUAAAAAGGAAACAUCUUGUCCCACAGAACUAGACAAGCAAGUCACAAAUGUAACAGACAAGGAUUACUGGGCAACAUCUCCAUGGAAUAUAAAACAUCAAGACAGAAAAUCCCUUGACUUUCACCACAAGGCUAUAACUCUAUCCAGCCAUGGUGACAAAACUUCAAAUAUAUCUGACCUCAGUGCCCAUGCUAUACUCCAACAAGAACAAGGAAAAAGGGAGACAUUCUGGUCAACAGAACUAGACCAACAGGCCACAACUCUAACAGAUAAGGUUUACUGGACAACACCUACAUUGGAUCUAAAUCAUGAAGACAGAAUUUCACUUGACUUUCACCAUGAGGCCACUUAUCCACCCAGAAAUGAGGUCCAGGAUUCAGACUCAGAUGACCUCAGUGCCCAGGCCACACUCCAGCAAGAACUAGGCAAAAAGAAAACUUCUUGUCCUACAGAAGUAGACCAGCAGGCCAUAAAUCUAACAGAUGAGGUUUGCUGGAUAACAUUGCCAUGGGACAUAAAGCACCAAGACAGAACUUUCCCUGAUCCUUAUCAUGAAGUCACAUCUCCACCCAGACAUGAAGACCAGGAUUCAGAUGUGUCAGAACUCAGUACUCAAACCAUAAUUCAACCAGAACUAAAUGAAUGGAAAACAUUUUGGUCCAGAGAAGCAAACCGACAGGUUACAACUCUAAUAGACAAGGUUUACUGGGUAACACCCAUGUUGGAUCCAAAAUACCUGGACAGAACUUCACCUGAUCUUCAUCAUGAGAUCACACCUCCAUCCAGCUAUGAAGAACAGGAUUCAGAUUUCAUAUACCUCAGUGGCGAGGCCACACUCCAACAAGAACUAGGCAAAAGGAAAGCAUCUUCUCCUACAGAGCUAGACCAGCAGGCCAAAACUCUAAAAGAUGAGGUUUCCUGGGCAACAUUGUCAUGGGACAGAACUUCACCUGCCACGCCCCAUGAGCCUACAAGCCCAUCCAGCCAUGAAGAUGAUAGUUCAGCUAUAUCAGACCUCAGUGCUCAGUCCAUACUCCAAGAAGAAUUAGAUAAAUGGAAAACAUCUUGUCCCACAGAACUAGAUCAGCAGGCCAGAAUUCUAAAAGAUGAGGUUUCCUGGGCAACAUCCUCAUGGGGCAUAAAAUACCCAGGUAGAAAUUCACCUGAUAAUCACCUUGAGGCUACACCUUCAUCCAACCAUGAUUAUCAGGAUUCAGAUCUGUCAGACUUCAGUGCUCAGGAAACACUCCAAUUAGAUAUAAAUGAAUGGGAAAAACUUUGGCCAACAGAACUGGAUCAGGAGGGCACAACUCUACCAGACCAGGCUUCCUGGGAAAUCUCCCCAUGGGAUAUAAAACAGCAAGACAGAACUUCACCUGAUACUGACCAUACAACCUCAACAUCAUCUAGCCAUGAAAGGAAGGAUGGGGAUGUACCAGAUCUCAAUGCUGAGGCUAUACCCCAACCAAAACUAGACCAAUGGGAAAUAAUGCCAUCAAUACUAGAUCAAGAGUUAAGAGUUGAUCUCACAAUUCAACACUCCAGGACAAUACCUUCAGUGAGCAUAAUAGAGUCCCAGAAUGUGGUUCUAUCUGAUCCUGAGCACAAAAUCAUACCUCCAUCCAGCAAUGACUACCCAGUUGGGGAUAUAUCCAAGCCAAAUACCAAGAUUACACUCCAACAAGAUCAAGAUGACUGGGAUAUAUUUUGGACAAGACUAGACCAUCAGGACACAGCUUCACUCAACAAUGACUAUCAGAUCCAACAUGUCCCAGGCCCUAAAGCUGACAUAAUUCAAAAAGAACAAGAAGAUUUAGAUAUAUUUUGGACAAGAACAUUAGACUAUCGGGCCAUGACUCCAACAAACAAGGAUUACUGGACUGCAUUUCCUUUACUGAACAUAGAACAUCACAAUAUGAUACAACCUGAUCCUGACCACCAAGUAUCAUGUACAACCAGCCCUGACCAUCAAACUGAAGACACAACAGAUCCCAAUGUCCAGAGUAUAUUUCAAACAAAAAAAGAUUCAUGGGAAACAAUGCCACAGGAAAUAGAACGCAAGACCCUAAUUCUCACAACCCAUGAUCAGGAAGCAAUAUUUCUACUGGGCAAAAAUCACCAGGACACAAAUCUCCCUGGCUCUGACAAGCAAGAUUUCAUUCUAUCCAUCCAUGACACUGAGGAUACUGAUGUACCAGGCCCCAAUACUUUAGUUACAAUACAACCAGAAAAAGGACAAUGGGAAUUGAUGCCCCCUGAAACAGAUCACAUGGCAAUAAUAAGUUUCACAGUUCAUCAGCAGGAAGCAACACCUUCACUAUCUUUAAACCACAAGGACACAAAUCCAUCUAACUCUAUCCAUUGGGCAGCUACUUCACUGAUCAUUUAGUCUGUCAUUAGGCCAGCUUUUCUUAGUUAAAUUGAAUAGACCACUGGGAAACAAUGCCACCAGCCCAGGAUUUCAACAACACAAAACUAUAAGGCAACAACUAUACUGAGCAUUGACAUAAGAAUGCCAAACCUUGACUGACCCCCAAAAUCAUGACAUACUUCUACACAACUCUAAGGAUGCAAAAUCAAAUUCCAAUGCCAAGAUCAUAUUUCAAAGAAAACAAAGCACUGGCCAAGAACAGAUAAUCCGACCAUAGUCCUUAUAGAUCAGGUGUCUGAAACAAUAUUUCUCCUCAAUUUAGACCCCAAGAACACAGUUCUACCUGAACCAGACUCUAAUUCCACCAUGCCUGACCAUUAGACUAUGGAUGCAUCAGGCAGCAAUGCCCAAAUCUCAUUUCAUAUACAAAUCCACUUAAAAGCAGUUCAUAUACCUAUGAAGGUAUAACUCUUAUUAUCCAGGAUCAUGAAAAAACACAUUUAGUGGAUUUAGACAACCAGGUAAAAUUCCACCUUGACUUAGCCACUGAGUAUCAACUGCCCUAGAUAUUGGUUAAAAGACAGUGAAAGUCCAAUCAAUGCCUAAGGGGUCUAGGUUCCACCAUAAUUAGGCCACUAAGAAACUAUACUACUGGCAACAGACAUUCCCACUUCCCAAUUCCCUUGUGCAUUGACCCUGAGGAUACAAGUCUCCCUAAUUCCAGCUGUCAGAUUACAAUUCCCAAGUAGUCCCAACCAAAAGUCAAAAGCUAUUCCAUACUCCCAAACUAAUACCUCCCUCCCUCAGCAAAAAAGUCAGUGACUACAGAUCAAGAGGUCAUACCUCUGUUUAGUCCUGAUCUUCCAGUCACUCUUCUACUCAGUCCUGAAAAUCAGACUCCAUCACUUGGACACAGUUCCAACAGAUAUGAAUGAUCAGGAAACAGUUCUACCAAGACCAGAGUAUAGUAAGUAUAACACUUUCAUCAAGUCCCAGCUGUCAGCCUGAGCAUAAAAUUAAUUCUGAGCAUAAAAGGAGAUCUGACAAUCAAUCUGAGCUCUAACAUUAGAUCCAGAUAAAAUUAUACAAACUCGAUGGCAUUUAAAUUACAUCAAAACAUACAUCACUGAAAGAGAGUCAGUCUCUGCUACAACUGUUCAUGCCAUCUAUCAACAAUCAGGAGAAAAUUGAUGAUGACAUCUCUAUGCAGAUUCUCCUGCUAAGAAUGAGGUAAACCUCUGCUCUACCACCUGAUAAACAUACUGCACAUGAUUAUAUGGUCUGCUUAAUUUGUGCCUCCUGUAUCCUAAAUAGUAGUUCCCAUAUUCAGGGAACAAAUUAUUCUUAUGAGGCAAAAUUGCUAACCAUACCAAAACAUCUGCCUGGCUCUGAAGAGGAGAUGGGUGUGAAAAUUUGUCCUUCAAGUACUGCGCUCAACACUUUUCUUCUUUUUUAAUCUUCAAGCCACCCAUUGUGGUUUGUCCAGGCCUUUAUAUUAUUCACCAGUUUCUAACUCCUUCCCACUCAGGCUCUAUACUCACUAUACCUGCAAGGGCAAAAUGGCUUCAAUUUAUACUUAAUUAUUUCCAGGCAUUGAGGGCCACAUCUAGAAGUCAACAGCCAUUUGCAGGGUAAAUAGCCAUGAAGAGCAAGAGCAAUAGAGAAGAGGGGGCAAGGACAUAUUGGACAUUAAUCAGAUCCCUGCUAAAAGUAUUUCAAAGGUGACCAAGGAGAAAUUAAAUUAAAUAAACAUCAAUUUUAAAAGGAAA